UGAUCACUGGUCUUUAAGUAAAAACAACCUCUAGCUUGAACUUAGGUUGGACUUAAACAGAGUAGAAUUGUACAUAAUACACAGUGAAUGAUUUGUGCUCUUUGGUUAUUAUUAGACAGUUUCAUAAUCUAAAGAGAUCACCUUUCCUAUAACCAGGAAUGGCCCUAUUCUAGAGAAACCAUUUAUCAUUUGAAAAUAUUUGAAGAUUUUGAUUAAUUGGAUUUAUAUAUCAGCCACAUUCAAAAAUGUAUUUAGUAUAGUUUUACUAUUUAACAAAAAUGUUCAGAGAGCCAGACUCGGCAUUAAAUGGUCCUAGGAAUCACAGAAACACUCAUUUCAGGUUUUCUCUUUGUGACUGGCAGGCUAUGCUGAAUUUACCAUUUCAGUGUCAAGGUUCGCCUUGUGAGCAGCUAGGAAAAUUGUCUUAAUAUUCUAGUUAAAUUCUUAAAAAGAAAAGAAAAAUACCAGUUUUUCAUUAGCAUUACUCCCUCAAUAUCUAAAUAUAUUGUUUCAAACAAUUAAUAUCUGAAUAACUAAAUGCAUAUAUCUAAUCUUUAGCCUAUAGAAAAUUAGCAUGUUUUAUGUUUCUUUACAAAGAAAUUCUAGAUAAUAGUAUCAUUACUUUUUAGCAACUGAAUGUAGGUCCUUUCCUAAUGCCCAUUUUUGAAGUUGCAUGUGAUAACUCCUCAAUAGCUAAUAUUUAUUGUGGGCCAUUUUCAUCACAAUUAAAUUUCUCUAGGUAGUGUUUUGAAAACUUAUGAAACCUUAUGAAAACCUUACUUUUAUAUGAGAUUCAGAAUAGUAAUUGGCUAUAUAUACAUGCAUAGAUCAGCACCAUCUGUCAAAACAGAAAUGAACUGGUGCAAAUUUUUUUGAAAACUAACAGGCAUCCAGGUACGAUGCUUGGCAGGUGGCCCAGCCAGAAGCCUUAGGUCUGGCGUUGGCUGGAUUUGCUUCUGACUCCUCCUCAGUCCACAGUGGAAUCUUUAAACAGGCCGGUCCACCUUAGUUUUAUAUAGAUAUUUUUUUUUGCUUGUUUCCUUCUCCCCUGCCCUUUAAAAAUUGGUUCUGUGAUGAAAGGCAGAAGACAUAUUGCAUGUGUACAGUGCUGCAGGUGUCUGCAUCAUCCUUGUGUCCUCCAACCCUGGCUUCCCAUGACACAAUUAAUUGAGGGACUUUAAUUUAAACCCUGUUCCAUAGGACUGCUGGCACCUCCGCUACCUUCUAACAAAGGCUCUUUUAGCCCCUUGUGGGAGGAGAAAGAAAAACACUGGCACACUCUUUGCUUGUUAAAAUAAGUAUUAAUAUACUAGUAAGGAGUACAUCUCUAACUGUUAGAAAAAUCUAAUAAAACAGCAGCAGGCACAUAGCUUUGAUCCUACCAUUUGUAAGUUCCAGGACAGCCUGAUCUACACAGUGAGACUCUGUCUCAAAAACAAAUCAUCAAAUGCCAACAAAACAAAACCCAGCAGCAUGCAGCUGUCAGUACAUUGACCCAUCAUUUUUAUUAAGACGCUGUACAGGAGUGCUGGUUGGUUGGUUUUCUCUUUUAGGCAAAAUUGUUGAGACAUUUUCAUGAAAAAUACCAUUUAUAUCUCUUGCAAACUUUUAAGGACAAUCAGAUUAUCUAUGCCUUCUUUUUUUCUAAGUGUUAAAAAUGCUAAAAAGAAAUAUUGGGCCUUUAAUCUGUUGCUACUGCACUAUAUAUUCAGAAAUUGACAUUCUAAUGAAAGAUUACAUUUCCUAUUUAAAUAUGAGACCAUAUCUCAUUUUAAUUAUAUUCUCAAUAAUAAUAACAAGGGAUAAUGGUUUCUUCAUCUUAAUGUGGAUAGUUUGCAUUACUUAUUUGUACCAGGUGUUGUCACUUCUUUUUAUUGCACAGUUUAAAUUUUUUCUAUAAUUGUUAUAGCUCCUUUCCAAUUAAAAUGUCAUGAUGCUUUUCAUGUUGAAAGUAUUUCUUUGAUUUUUAAAAUUUUUUAAACUGUUUCUGCAUUUCAGUAGUUGUCUUGCUAAUUUUGAUCUUCAUAAAAUUACAUGGAAGAAGCCAUUUUGAAUGUAUUUUCAGUAAGUAGGCAGGUAGAAAUAACAAAAUAGAUGUCAUUGAUAUUCUUAAUUAAUCCCUGAAAAGAAAUUGGAAAAUGGAAAAAAAAUCAAUUUUUUCAAAACUAAAAGGUGGAAAAACAAAGGUAUCAAAAGACUCAAUUUCUUACAUUGCUGAAGAGGUCACCUUCCAGAUAAGUGUUUUAUACAGCUGGUACCAUAAAUUGUACAUAGUGUCUGCUCUAGGCACUGCAGUGGUAGUGCACUGAUCAUUGAAAAGAAAGAAUUCUUGAAGAAAGCAUGGAAGAUCAACAUUGUUUCCACUCUCCAGUAAUGCUAAAGCUGCUGUGCAGUCCUGAACCUUCCAUAUGGUGCUUGUGUGAUGAUGUAAUAUUUGUGUAUGUUAUUAGUGCCUUAUUUCUUUCAUGUGACUUUAUUUCUUAUCAGAAGAGCCAUAAAUUUCCUGUUAGUGUUCUUUGAUCCCUCUACGUAAAGCAUGCUAAUCAGGUGUCUUUAUAGAUGUACCUAGUCUGCAUUUGCUACUGAAUCUACUGUGUUGUCUCUAGAAUAAUACAUUAGCUGUAUUUUUCUUAAGUUGGUUAUUUAUUUUUAAGCUAACACAAGAAAAUGAAUAUUAAAUAAUGGAAAUCAAAGAUAUUGGAAUUUACUUUUAUUUUUAAAACACACACAAAGGCUGAAUAAACUGGAAACAAUCGAUAAGCUUGUCUGUGGCUCCAAUUAUGGUGAAGCCACAAAACUUUACAAAUAUCAUUAAAAGUAAAUAUAACUGUGGCACUUUAGAAAUGUAUCUAUUUACAACUUGACUUUGACAAUACUCUAUUAUUAAGUUUCUUAUAGAAGC
rnacentral:lncRNA from 1 species